UUUCCUCUUUCCUUCAAGAACCAGUACAAUAGCAAAGACCCAUUUCAAUACCUACAACUCUCCUCAACCUGAACUUUGAUCUGAAUCGCGACAACAACAUCAUGAACCAUUGAUCCAUGUCCAACGAUGAUACCUGACCCCAUCCCAUUCCUUUUUCACUGUUGUCACGCAUUUCGCGCAUUCGUAGGACAGGAAACUCCUUGAACGCUCUAGAACAAGCCAAGGUAUCUCUCCCAACGGCUCAAAUCCACAAAUUUUGGGAUAACUCAUACGGAUUCAUACAUAUUUGGUAAAUUUUCAUUGGUUUUUGGGUACAUUUUUGUCUUCCCCACAUUUGAUUGGUCCACUGGUUUCGGAUUUGUGGAAAGAAAAUCCAAAUUGGUUACGACCCAGGGAGGCUAGGGGUUUUAAAUUUCAAAUUCCCUCUGAAAAUCCCUAAAAUCUCCCCCAAUUCCCGUCUUCUAUAUAAGAACGGAUUAGGUCACAUUUCGAGAGGUUGGGGAGAGAGGUCGAGGAAGUUGGGGUUCAAAAAUUAGGGUUCAAAAAGGGGUUUCUUUGGAUUAGGAGAUUUUCUGAGCUAGUUAGGUCAAAAACCAAAAGAGUGCAAAAACUUUCUUUGAUUGAGAAGAAGAGCAGGAGGAAAGCAGAGAAAAGGGUUUGGGGAAGCGGGGGAUUCUUAGCUCUUUAUAGAUAAUUUUCCUUCUUGUUUCGAAAUUGGGGUAUGUGGAAAAUGGUGGUUUCAAACCUUUCUCUGAGAAAUUUAGGAGUUUUAAAACUGAGGGUAAGAAUAGAAGAAGGAAAGAAUUUUUUGAUUAAAGAUUCAAUCUGUGCCUAUUAGGAAUUCUGUUCCCAAAAAAUUGGUUUGCCAAUAAAGUUCUGAAGCCAAUUACGAUACUUUUCCGGUGGUAGCAAAUCCAGAAUAAGCUCGAGUUUCGUUUUGCUGCUCCCUUGAGGACUGCUGGUAUGUUAUCAUGGUUGGCUUCAGGGUUUAAAGUUGCGUGCUUUGAUCGUUUUGGGUCGAUGGCGCCCUAUUCUAGCUCAUCUUAUUUUAAAGUUUCGGGUUUUAUUCUUAUUUUGAUAGUUUUUAGGUCGAGGGUGUUUUGUUCAUUGUUGGUAUUUAACGCCAUAUUAUUUGUUGAGACUUCCCCAUGAGUUCUUUGGCUUCCCAAAUGACAAAAAAUGACGAGGAUACGCUCGACACAAACUGACAAAUCCCAUGAUCCCUCGAUGACCAUUUUGGCUAUUAGAACUCGUUUGAGUUUGACAAAAGAGGAUGAGGAUGAGGAUGAUAGUAGUGCCCCGCCACUUUCCUUUUAGCUUUAUCUGCCAUGUCUUUUUUUGUUUGGAUUCGAAUCUUUUAUCUUUCCUUGUCUCUUGAGCUUGUUGCCAAUACAUGAUCGGGUUAGGGAGAUGAAUGCAAUAAUGGGGUAUUUUAGUAUGUUUAUUUAGAAGGAAUGGCCUUAUUUUGUUCUCCUCAUAGAAAUGGAGCAUCACUGUUGUAUGUCUCUUUGAAUACCUACUAUCAAUGGAACUUGGAUUUAUAGGUCAAUUUCACUUCUUUUCUGUGUUUCAAUCAGUCUCUUGACUAGAUAUGGGGUUAUGUUUAGGUAUGAAGUUCUCAAAACAGCUUGCAAACAGUUUUCUCCUGUCCCAUAUAAUAUGAGAGUAUCAUAUAGUGUGGUAUAGAUUGGUUUAUUUGAAGCACAUGACUGCAUUUCGAUUUUAGUGUUGGAAAUUAAUAGUGUUCUUGAUUUAAGUGAGACCCUCUUUGCUUUUGUUGAUUGGAUUGUCCUGUAUACUGUACAACAUACAAGAAAAGAGGUGAAACGAACUUAUCUUGGUUCAUCCAUAGCAUAAAUUUAAGUAUCUAUUUUUGGGAAUUAUCUUCAGCUCUUCAUUUUUGUAUUCCAGUUGAGUGUUUUGAUAGCCAACUGAUAAAAUUUUCUUAGUUUCUGUGUAUUCCUUCUCAUAAGUAAGCACCGGAACCUAUCGUUUUGUCAAAAGGAAUGGACUGCGAUUUACUAUUAAUGUACGGUCCUUUAACAAAUGUUAUAGCAUCCCUCUACUGCAACAAACAAAACCAACAUUACGUCAUAUGCUCUCAUCCAAUGGUCAUUACAUGCGAUUAGAAAAAGUGACUGUUUACUAGAAUUCUUUCAUGCAUAUGCAUACUUUCACGCCAAAGUCCAGCAUAAUAUGGCGUGUUCUCUUUGAUCUUUAUGUUAAAUGUUCAAAACCAAUUAAACACAGUUGCAUGUCGUAUAUAUCACUAAUCUAGUAGCUAAGUUUCCUUUUAUGUAUCGAAGUAGUGAUUUUUUUUAAUAGCUUUGAACUUUCUAAAUUUUUUUGUUAUAAAAGUAAUUCAUUUUUAUGAACGCGUAUUAAUUCAUAUAUCUUUUCUUUGCAUGCACCCUCCUUGGAGUCCAAAUGGGCUUCUUCUCUCUUUGUAUUUCAUAAAUAGGCCAAUAAGGCCUAUCUUUUCGAGUCAAGCCCGAAUGAAAGCCUAAAGUUAAGCACGUGGCAUAUGGUACGAGAAGUCAAAAGAGGAAUAAUGGAUUAAAAUCUCAUCUUAGAAGCGACUAAGGGAUUAGAAAGUUUCUUUUCUUUUAUUUGUUUAUUUAUUUUGUCAUCUUUUAUUUAUUUGUUUAUUUAUUUAUUCCUUUAUUUCA